AUCCACCACCACAUCCAGGUAGUUUUUAUAUUUUUAAUAGAGACGAGAUUUCACGUGCUGUAAUGCCCCCUUUGGGGCUCCACAGUUCCUGGCAUCUCCAAGUUUUCGGGCUCCACUGCCUUCUCCUCAUCCUGAUGCUGGCACCCAAGGUGGAAGCUGCUGUGGUAUGCCUGGUCCAGCCACGGCCUCGCACGAAGCCAGUGCCUGAAGCUGCCCAUCCCACCGCAGACCCACCACAGCAGCCGGCACACCUGGCUGUGCACCAUGGCUGGAUCCCACACUCGCUUGCUCACAUAUCCUUUGCUGCUCUGUGCCUGGCUCGCCCUCAGCAGACAUGGGAUCCAGGCUGGUAGCAUAAGCUGAGCGCAGCCUGCCAGCCUGGGUGGGCAGAGCAUAGAGACUAGUGGCCAGCUCAGAACUAAGUGAGGCCUGGGCAGGGGUGCUGCCGGCCAGAGAUUUCCGGCUGGCAAAGCGGCACUGAAAAAAUCCUGCAUCAGUAUCAAACAAGUCAUUUUACUUCUAUAGGCCUUAGUUUCUUCAUCUUUAACAUGAAAGGAUUUCCAAGUAAAGAUGGCAGACUGGGGAUAUCACGAGAGCUUAUUUUUUUAUCUCCUCUCCCUUCCAAAGCCAGACUAAACUAGCAGUAAAGCAAUUUUUAAAAGGAAUAAUCCAUAAUGACUAGAGAACAAGAAUGGAGCCAUUAGCGGCCAAGCAAUUUCAACAGAUUUUCUGAAGAUGGAAAGCAGAACAGUGUAAAUAAUGAAGCAAAGCAGACACAGGAGGCCACAGUUCCGAAUACAAACAGAGAAUACACCUAAAGAGACAGCCAAGCUGCCAAAACCAAGUGAACUCAAACACCAGGUAGGUAGGAAAUCAGGAGCAGGAAGCAAAUACAGGCAAGAUUAACCUAAAAGUAAUUUCCCAAUCAACAAGCCUAUCUAUAUGUAUAGUUCUUGGUUAGUUUCUUAUUGUUUUAUCAGCAGAUCG
rnacentral:lncRNA from 1 species